rnacentral:lncRNA from 1 species
AUGAUCAAAUGAAAAAUGGGUGUCUUUCGCCUAAUUUUUUCGUAAAAUCUAAUCACAAAGUUCGUGCGACAAAAAGUUGGAAAAAACAUUACAAUAAUUGCCGGACCAAAGUAUGGUAUGGGCAUGCAAAUACGGACUGUCAUACAGAAAACAGCCUAUAUUCCAUGCAUUUCAUAAUCUUGAUGUUCAUAUAAACCCAAUACGAAGGCUAUUUUAGUACUCAGCUAUCCAAAAAUGAAUUUUAUUGCAAACUAGCUCUCAUAUUUUAAAAAUCCACAGGGGCCAAAAUGCGAAACUACACACCUAACUCACAGUGCUACCACAAGCGAUGGGAUACAUAUUUUAAAGGGGUGAGCAUAGUAUAUAAGUAGAUAUCAUGCUACUUAAAUUUUAUCAUAUUGUCUCUAUCAAACUAGGGUGUACACGCUUAAAGGUUUGGUCUGCUUUACCGAGCAAUUGAUUUUAUUGUAUAGGCCUUAAUGUAAAUCUCUAUUACAAGUAUUACAUAAACUCAACAUCAUCCACGGAAACGAGUCAAGCUCAGAAAAAGCAACCGACAGUACAUGUACAUGUACACCUUACAAUCAUUCCAUACAACAUACAUAGCCGACCUAUUGCUUACAGUUUCUAAGUAACAAACUUAAUCAGGAAAAUUUAAGAUUGACCAAUGAACCACUAAAUGAGGUCAAGGUCAGAUGAACAAUGCCAGA